AAAUGAUUUAAACUCGUCAGCACCCAGCAGUUUCUGGCAAAUAGCAGGUGCUUGGUAGUUGGUGAUUUCUUCCCAUUCCCCUCCCUUUACAUGGAAGCCUGCCUGGCCCGGGUAUCUUUGUGAACAAGAGCCAGAGGAGAAUUUCCUGAGGUAUUUCUGUCUUCCAGUGGUCUGGGAAAUCCAGCCUCGAGUUUCCUUGCUGGUCACCUGCGAGUGUGUCCUGAGGCCACAGGCCUUCCUGGGCAAAGCUGGCUCUUGCUCCCGCUCCCCUGACGUUUCACGAUCGCUCCCAGAACACUCCUGCCUGUCUGCUGGGCGGCUCCUGGCCUUCACUGCACUGAGGAGUGGUGAGAGCCGAGCCCAUCGCGGUGCCACGGGGCGGGGGCCCAGGGCACUGGGCUGGACGCCCGCUGUGCUGCCUCCCCACGCACGGAGCUGGCAGGGCCCACGGCUCUUAGGCUGCGCGUCCACGGCUGUGGCGCGGUGGCAGUGACCCUCAUCCUGAGCCCUGUGGAGUUCCCCAGGUGCUGGGCAGAGGGAGUG
rnacentral:lncRNA from 1 species